rnacentral:rRNA from 1 species
UACGGGGGGGGUAAGCGUUGUUCGGAAUUAUUGGGCGUAAAGAGCUCGUAGGCGGUUUGUCACGUCUGCUGUGAAAACUGGAGGCUCAACCUCCAGCCUGCAGUGGGUACGGGCAGACUAGAGUGCGGUAGGGGAGAAUGGAAUUCCUGGUGUAGCGGUGGAAUGCGCAGAUAUCAGGAGGAACACCGAUGGCGAAGGCAGUUCUCUGGGCCGUAACUGACGCUGAGGAGCGAAAGCGUGGGGAGCGAACAGG